rnacentral:rRNA from 1 species
GUGGGGAAUAUUGGACAAUGGGGGGAACCCUGAUCCAGCCAUGCCGCGUGUGUGAAGAAGGCCUUUUGGUUGUAAAGCACUUUAAGCGAGGAGGAGGCUACUCUAGUUAAUACCUAGAGAUAGUGGACGUUACUCGCAGAAUAAGCACCGGCUAACUCUGUGCCAGCAGCCGCGGUAAUACAGAGGGUGCAAGCGUUAAUCGGAUUUACUGGGCGUAAAGCGCGCGUAGGUGGCCAAUUAAGUCAAAUGUGAAAUCCCCGAGCUUAACUUGGGAAUUGCAUUCGAUACUGGUUGGCUAGAGUAUGGGAGAGGAUGGUAGAAUUCCAGGUGUAGCGGUGAAAUGCGUAGAGAUCUGGAGGAAUACCGAUGGCGAAGGCAGCCAUCUGGCCUAAUACUGACACUGAGGUGCGAAAGCAUGGGGAGCAAACAGGAUUAGAAACCCGGGUAGUCC